ensembl:snoRNA SNORD33 Small nucleolar RNA Z195/SNORD33/SNORD32 family
CAAGUUUAUUUGUUUUGCUUGUCAGUUUAACGACCAUGAGAAUACUGUACAUGCACUACCAUCUGAAACUUU